UACGGGGGGGGCAAGCGUUGUUCGGAAUUACUGGGCGUAAAGGGCGUGUAGGUGGCCAACUAAGUCCGACGUGAAAUCCCCAGGCUUAACCUGGGAACUGCGUCGGAUACUGGAUGGCUUGAAUUCAGGAGAGGGAUGCAGAAUUCCAGGUGUAGCGGUGAAAUGCGUAGAUAUCGGGAGGAACACCAGUGGCGAAGGCGGCUCUCUGGGCCAUACCUGACGCUGAGACGCGAAAGCGUGGGGAGCGAACCGG
rnacentral:rRNA from 1 species